rnacentral:rRNA from 1 species
UACAGAAGCCUCAAGCGUUACCCGGAUUCACUGGGCGUAAAGGGUGCGUAGGCGGUUAUAUUAGUCGGGUGUUAAAUCCUGGGGCUCAACCCCAGGCUCGCAUUCGAAACGGUAUAACUAGAAGGAGUGAGAGGUGAACAGAACUCAUGGUGUAGGGGUGAAAUCCGUUGAUAUCAUGGGGAAUACCAAAUGCGAAGGCAGUUCACUGGCACUUUCUUGACGCUGAGGCACGAAAGCGUGGGUAGCGAACGGG